CGAGUUUACAACUCCCAAACCCCUGUGAACAUACCAAUUGUUGCCUCGGCGGAUCAGCCCGCUCCCGGUAAAACGGGACGGCCCGCCAGAGGACCCCUAAACUCUGUUUCUAUAUGUAACUUCUGAGUAAAACCAUAAAUAAAUCAAAACUUUCAACAACGGAUCUCUUGGUUCUGGCAUCGAUGAAGAACGCAGCAAAAUGCGAUAAGUAAUGUGAAUUGCAGAAUUCAGUGAAUCAUCGAAUCUUUGAACGCACAUUGCGCCCGCCAGUAUUCUGGCGGGCAUGCCUGUUCGAGCGUCAUUUCAACCCUCAAGCCCAGCUUGGUGUUGGGACUCGCGAGUUAAAUCGCGUUCCCCAAAUUGAUUGGCGGUCACGUCGAGCUUCCAUAGCGUAGUAGUAAAACCCUCGUUACUGGUAAUCGUCGCGGCCACGCCGUUAAACCCCAACUUCUGAAUGUUGACCUCGGAUCAGGUAGGAAUA
rnacentral:rRNA from 1 species